CGGAGGUAAUCAGCACCGAUAAUUCUUAAUUGUUUGAUUGUGCUGAUUGCCUCUGAUUGUUUUCAACAGUGAGCCUGGGGUUUUUAAAAGCCGAGACCGGGAGUCUUCACGAGACAGCUAUAUGGUUAAGAGGAAAUACCAAAAAAAAACCUGUGUUUGUUCAUUUUGUCAAAGAGCCGGUUGGCUGUACUAAAAGAGCAGGGUGUCGGGCUUAUACAGACACAGCAUAGUGAAAUGAUUUGCAGUACCUUUUGGAUCAGUGGAGCAGCAAGCCUUCAGGCAAUCCAGUUCAGAAGGAUGGCAAACUGCAUGCAUGAUUGUUGUCUUUUUUGAGAGUGCAACCCUGACAUUUAUGGUCUUCUCCUGGUGCUGUUUGGAAAAGCACAGCUGCUGGCCUUGAGCUGAAAUGACAGACACUGCACCCCACAGCAGCAGCAUCAUAGUGAGCAGAAGAAAGGGCAUGAGUGCAAUGCGAUUCAUGGCUUCAUCUGGCAGUAGUGAGAGUAUUCACUGGCCUUUCCAGGAAAAGUUCUGUGGGAAAGAAAUGUGUGGUUGUUAGGAGGUAGCAUGAGCAUUUAAAUAAAAGCUGAGAAUGUGCA